rnacentral:rRNA from 1 species
AAACAUCACCUCUAGCAUUACAAGUAUUAGAGGCACUGCCUGCCCAGUGACAAAUCAGUUCAACGGCCGCGGUAUUCUGACCGUGCAAAGGUAGCAUAAUCACUUGUUCCUUAAAUAGGGACUAGUAUGAACGGCUAGACGAGGGUUUAACUGUCUCCUGUCUCCAGUCAGUGAAAUUGACCUUCCCGUGAAGAGGCGGGAAUAAAAAAAUAAGACGAGAAGACCCUAUGGAGCUUUAAUUAAUUUACAUACACUAAAACACUUAAUCUUCCUAAGGGUUAUAAAGUACUAGUACUAAGUAAAUAAUUUUGGUUGGGGUGACCUCGGAGAAUAAAAAAACCUCCGAAUGAUUUUAACCUAGACACUACAAGUCAAAGUCAAAAAUCAUCAAUUGACCCAGUACAAACUGAUCAACGAACCAAGUUACCCUAGGGAUAACAGCGCAAUCCUAUUCUAGAGUUCUUAUCGACAAUAGGGUUUACGACCUCGAUGUUGGAUCAGGACUUCCCAAUGGUGCAGCCGCUAUUAAAGGUUCGUUUGUUCAACGAUUAAAGUCCUACGUGAUCUGA